rnacentral:rRNA from 1 species
GUCUCCUGAAGGAACGUUGAAGACUACGACGUUGAUAGGUCGGGUGUGUAAGCGCAGCGAUGCGUUGAGCUAACCGAUACUAAUGAACCGUGAGGCUUAACCUU